rnacentral:rRNA from 1 species
CAGCGCGUAAUCUCUUUAUUGAGAAGUGUCGCGUAUAGUCUGUUCUUGCCUUGGUGCCUGCUGCUUGAAUAUCGCUGGAAUGCAUCUCCAGAGAGGGUGUUAGACCCGUUCGGGCGGUGGGCGCUUUGGUUGGUUCUGACUUGGAGUCGAGUUGCUUGGAAGUGCAGCUCUAAGUAGGUGGUAUACCACAUCUAAGGCUAAAUAUGACCACGAGACCGAUAGCGAACAAGUACCGUGAGGGAAAGUUGUAAAGAACUUUGAAGAGAGAGUUCAAGAGGACGUGAAACCACAAGGGGCGAAACGGAUAGAGUUGAUGAAUUGGCUGUAAUCAGUGCUCUGCGCUGCCUGUCUGCGUUCGCGCUGCUCGGCUCUCCGAGGCGUUCGUAGGCUUAGCUCGUUGGUGCUCAGUACGCAUUUACAGUCAAAGUUGCUGGAUGCCUUGGUUGCUCCUUCCGAACUGUGUGGUGAGGCCCACUUCGGUGGUGUCCUACCUGCAGGAAGGUUGGUGGUGGCUAAGGUGAAUUGAGCCUAGCUUUUGCGAUGAGUCUGGGUGUGAGCGUUCCGAGGGAUCUCCUGGCGUGCCAGUGUGAACUCGUGCGUUUCGCGCUUAGGCAACUUCGUGGGCUCUCUUCCGGCCUGAAAAGUCGACCACCUAUCCGACCCGUCUUGAAACACGGACCAAGAAGUCUAGCAUGUACGCGAGUCAUUGGGCGAAAACCCCAAAGGCGCAAUGAAAGUAAAGGUUGGCUUGCCAACUGAUAUGUGAUCCGUCGGCUUCGGCGGCGCAACAUAGCCCCAUGCAAAAUGCUUGCAUUUGUGUGGAGGUAGAGCGUACAUGCUGGGACCCGAAAGAUGGUGAACUAUGCCUGAGCAGGACGAAGCCAGAGGAAACUCUGGUGGAGGUCCGAAGCGGUUCUGACGUGCAAAUCGAUCGUCUGACUUGGGUAUAGGGGCGAAAGACUAAUCGAACCAUCUAGUAGCUGGUUCCCUCCGAAGUUUCCCCCAGGAUAGCUGGAGUAUGGCUCUGUUAUAUCCGGUAAAGCGAAUGAUUAGAGGCCUUGGGGACGAAAUGUUCUCAACCUAUUCUCAAACUUUCAAUGGGUACGAUGUUGCGGUUGCUUGAUUGAACCGUGACUGGGAAAGAGUGCUCCAAGUGGGCCAUUUUUGGUAAGCAGAACUGGCGAUGCGGGAUGAACCGAACGUUGAGUUAAGGUGCCUAAAUUCCCGCUCAUGAGACCCCAUAAAAGGCGUUGGUUGAUAUAGACAGCAGGACGGUGGCCAUGGAAGUCGGAAACCGCUAAGGAGUGUGUAACAACUCACCUGCCGAAUCAACUAGCCCUGAAAAUGGAUGGCGCUUGAGCGGGAUACCUAUACUCGACCGUUGUUGGCUUGUACGCGAGUAUCGUCUUGCCUCAACGAGUAGGAGGGAUACAGCGGUUAGCGUCGAAGGCUUUAGGCGUAGGCCUGGCUGGAGCUACCGUUGGU